ACGAUGUGAUGAUAGAAAUUCAAUGCUCUGUCAAUCGACUGAUCUUAUUUGAUGUUACAUUGAAGUUCCGACAGGUUCUGAUCGU